rnacentral:rRNA from 1 species
UCCACGCCCUAAACGAUGCACACUAGUUGUUGCUAUGCUAGACAUAGCAGUAAUGCAGUUAACACAGUAAGUGUGCCGCCUGGGGAGUACGGUCGCAAGAUUAAAACUCAAAGGAAUAGACGGGGACCCGCACAAGCGGUGGAGCCAAUCUCAUAAAGCGUCUCUCAGUUCGGAUAGCAGUCUGCAACUCGACUGCUUGAAGCUGGAAUCACUAGUAAUCGUAGAUCAGCAAUGCUACGGAAUACGUUCCCGGGUCUUGUACUCACCGCCCGUCACACCAUGGGAUUGAUUUCACCCGAAAUUGGGAAGCUAACCUUCGGGAGCUACC